AUGGAGAAGCAUCUGAGGACUUCCUUCGUGGUUUUGUGGCUUUAUUUUUGUUGGGUGAGUGGCCAAAACCAAGUGGAGCAGGGGCCUCAGUCCCUGAUCAUCCUGGAGGGAGAAAACUGCACUCUUCAAUGCAAUUAUACAGUGAGCCCCUUUAACAACUUACGGUGGUACAAACAAGAGACUGGGAGAGGUCCUGUUUCCUUGAUAAUCAUGACUUACAGCAAGAGCAAAGAGUCGAAUGGAAGAUACACAGCAACUCUAGAUGCAAGCAGCAAGCAAAGCUCUCUGCAUAUCACAGCCUCCCAGCUCAGUGAUUCAGCCUCCUAUAUCUGUGUGGUGGGCGCACUGUGCUCCCCAGGCACUGGCAGCCAGUGCCCAAACCUGCACCUGGAGGUUGUCAAGGAGGCUUAG